rnacentral:sRNA from 1 species
AGGGGCCCUUCAGGACCAACGUCACCUGUCCACUCACCCUUUGCCUUGGCUCCUUUGUGCUCCUGUGUCACUUCCGGCCUGGCCAUACAGGGCUUCCUUAGCUGAGAACCCAUGUUUGCCCACCUGAGAGGCCGACUAUACUCCUCCUAUCUCCAUCCCCCUCCAGCUCCAAGCACAGCCAUGAUUCAUGCUUCCUGAAAGGGCCUUCCUCUGAUAUACUGCUGGCCACCGCCAGUCUCACUCUUUCUAAUGCUCACUCUCUGCCCUUCUUAAUUGAGGCUCCUGGGGACAAGGCCAGCUACUUCGUCUCUUGGACCCCAUGCUGUGCACAACCUAGGCACUCUGUCUGCUUCACAGGAGAUGCCCAGAGAAGAUGGUCGGUGUGGAAAUUCAGUGCCUGUUUCUGUCAUAGCCAUUGUGAAUUGGAAGUCUGCAAUGCUUCGAAGCCAGUGAGAGCUGAACGUGCAAAUCUGAAGUCCCUCUUCAAUUAACGCUGAACCAUUAGUCUUUCCUGAAGCUGCCAGGAUCUAUUAAGCCAUUUAAUGCAACCUCCCGCCCUUCAGGAUCGCUCCCAGGAGUCUUUUUCUCAGGCCUGGGCCGUCAGAGCAUAAAUGACUUAAGUGGCCCGAGAAGCUGAGAACGAGGCAGCUGCUCAGUGCACAAGCCCAGGUACUUGAGCAGUUCCAGUCUAGCACCACAAUCCCAGACAGGCCUGGAGAGCCGCUGGCCUUCUGUCCACAAUGGAAGGACUGGUUCUAAGAGCAUCAAAGGCAACAACAACAGAAGCAACGGUAAACGAACUCAGUAUCCGGAGCGGAGGCCGAGCAGCAAGAGGGAAGGAAGGUCAAGCAAGCAGAAGGUCAGAGAACUGAGGCUUUCCAGUUCAUCUAAGGAAGCACCUCAGACUGCAGCUUCAGCAGUGUCUUUUAUGGUUGUGAAGUCGUUGUGAAGUCGACUUCCUACUUCGAUGUCUUGUACCCAUCUCUUAAAGGGCCACUCCCAGCUGCAGGUAAGGGAAUGUCCUUUGGGUGUUUCUACUUCUCCUUUGCUUCCUGUUUCACAGUCAGUUCCUAAUCCAUAACAAAACAACGCACCUAAUCCCAGCUGUGGUAACUGAAUAUUUUCAUAGUCAGUUGCUCUGGCACCUGGCCAAGACUUUUGAUAAGCUAAGUGAAAUUAACUUCAUGUGCUGGGAAUUUAUUCCCACUGAAGGACACUGUCCAGAGCCUGAGGGGGGGAUGUAGGCUUAGAGAAAGCAAAUGCUCUCCAGUCAAGGCCCAGGCCACAGAGCCUCCUUCGUGGUCUGACAGCAAAUGCUUUCUAGAGGAGGCUAAAUCCCCCCCAAGGUUACAAUAGCCACUCUGAGCUUUAGCAGACGCUGGUUUUAUCAGCUCAAGGUUGAAUCUAUUUCACAGCAAAGAGGAAUGGGGAAGAACCCUUA